CCUCCUCCGCCUCCGUUUCAUCCUCAGCUGCCGCAACUUCUGCGGCGUCUGACGAUGAACAUCCAUUACCGGUGGUUUCUUCGCUUCUCUUUUGUCUCGACGCGUCACUGUCUCUUCUCUUCUUACAAUUAACCCUUUCUCCAAGCUCUCCGAUGAUUUUUCCGGAGAUACGCCACCGUGGACCACCGGUUUCUUUGGCAAUUGUGACUCUUAUUCGUUUCCAACGUCUUCUCAGCAAGCGAGAAUUAGAGUUCAUGAGUAAAUCAAACGAUUCGCUAGGAAUUACACUACGUUAUUCAUCGUCUUCUUCGCUUGUGCACUAUAUCAAAUGCAUUGGUGAGAUUGUUAGCAAGCUUAGCCCUUUGGGUGCUAUUCAAAUAGUGCAGUGCCAGAUGGAAAUUUGAUCGUCACCCUUCCAUGAGGAAAUUCUCGAUGCAGUCUCCAACAGCUUUAUUAAUUUCUUGAAUGUCCAGGUUUGACUCUGAGAUAGCUUGAUACCCAAAAGUUCUUGUCUUUUGUUUACAGUUUGAACAGCAACAUCUUUAGAGACCUUGAGGAAACAUGUCUGAUUCCAAUCCACUGGGUUCUUCACUACCAAGCGUCCUUCUUUUUUCGGAGAGGUAAGGACUUCCCAAGCUAAUCUUGUUCUUCAUGUAGGAUUUUUAUCUAUAUUUGAACAUCAAACUCGUAAAUUGUCUGUGAAUAAGAGAUUGGUAUUGAAACAGAUUUCUCUGUUGAAUCUGAAACACAGUAGCUUCUUUUUUGGAUUUGGUGAUUUUAGUUGCUGUGAA